rnacentral:rRNA from 1 species
AGUGAACGCUGGCGGUAGGCCUAACACAUGCAAGUCGAACGGCAGCACAGUAAGAGCUUGCUCUUACGGGUGGCGAGUGGCGGACGGGUGAGGAAUACAUCGGAAUCUACUUUUUCGUGGGGGAUAACGUAGGGAAACUUACGCUAAUACCGCAUACGACCUACGGGUGAAAGCAGGGGAUCUUCGGACCUUGCGCGAUUGAAUGAGCCGAUGUCGGAUUAGCUAGUUGGCGGGGUAAAGGCCCACCAGGGCGACGAUCCGUAGCUGGUCUGAGAGGAUGAUCGGCCACACUGGAACGGAGACACGGUCCAUACUCCUACGGGAGGCAGCAGUGGGGAAUAUUGGACAAUGGGCGCAAGCCUGAUCCAGCCAUACCGCGUGGGUGAAGAAGGCCUUCGGGUUGUAAAGCCCUUUUGUUGGGAAAGAAAAGCAGCAGGUUAAUACCCCGCUGUUCUGACGGUACCCAAAGAAGAAGCACCGGCUAACUUCGUG